rnacentral:rRNA from 1 species
GAGUUUGAUCAUGGCUCAGAUUGAACGCUGGCGGCAUGCCUUACACAUGCAAGUCGAACGGCAGCAUGAUCUAGCUUGCUAGAUUGAUGGCGAGUGGCGAACGGGUGAGUAAUACAUCGGAACGUGCCCUGUAGUGGGGGAUAACUAGUCGAAAGAUUAGCUAAUACCGCAUACGACCUGAGGGUGAAAGUGGGGGACCGCAAGGCCUCAUGCUAUAGGAGCGGCCGAUGUCUGAUUAGCUAGUUGGUGGGGUAAAGGCCCACCAAGGCGACGAUCAGUAGCUGGUCUGAGAGGACGAUCAGCCACACUGGGACUGAGACACGGCCCAGACUCCUACGGGAGGCAGCAGUGGGGAAUUUUGGACAAUGGGCGAAAGCCUGAUCCAGCAAUGCCGCGUGUGUGAAGAAGGCCUUCGGGUUGUAAAGCACUUUUGUCCGGAAAGAAAUGGCUYUGGUUAAUACCUGGGGUCGAUGACGUACUGAGGAUAKUUCGGC